CUCUCACAUAGAUUCUCUAUCACCCCCACCUCAUUGCUGGUGCCUCUCUCUCUCUCUCUCUCUCCUAAACACCCACCGCACCAGCUCGGCCCAUCCUCCUUCUCCUCCACUGGUGCCUCCACCGAAUCCGAGAAGACUGUCGAGAUCUGAAUCAGAUUUGAGUCCUUGUCUUGAUUCCUGAUCUCCCUCAACCUUGUCUCUACCACAUCCCUCCAAACAAGCCAAACCCUAACUUAACUGCUCAAUCUCGACCCUCGAUUGGAGUCCUCUCAUUCCCUCUCGAGCCCCAAAUCGCCGUGAUAUCGACCAAACACGCUUGCAUUGUCGGAGUUGCACUUGAUUGCUACUUCAAACAGAUCUCUCCGAUGCCUAGUUGGUCCAAAAAAUAGCUUAGAAAACAUGAACCAGCUUAGAUUACACAAAGUUGUAGGAAUGGGCCAAGUGUUUUGGGUGUUUUUCAAAAUUGUUUUCGAAAAUCUUCAUCUUCUUCCUCUUCAUCAUCAGCUAGGGUUUCCUAGUUUUCGAGCUCUUUGAAGAUGUCAAUGGCGUCACAAGAGCAUCUGAACAAGAUGCAGCUCCGUCAAAACUACCGUAACCUCUGGCACACUGAUCUCAUGGGUACCAUUCAGGUCGAAACUUCAUUUGAAGAUGGAAUUCAUUGUUAUACAUUAGGUUUGGAUUCACUUGGUGCUAAGCUGUAACUUGUUGUGAUAUUGCUGGAAUUGCAGGUUUGGGAUGUUUCAGUGUACCAAUGGUGUCCUGUAUUUUCAGUGAUAUACUACUAUCUACAACACUAGGGCACAAAUUACUAACCUUUAGUGUACCAAUGGUGUCCUGUAUUUUCAGUGAUACACUGCUAUCUAUUCCCUCUGUCCCAAAUUGUUUGUUUGGCACGGAAUACAAUAACUUAAAAUAAAGUAUUCUCGUACCGAAAUUUCAAAAAAAUGUACCCAAUUAAAAGAUCUUAUCAAGUAUUUUUAAUUUGUGGAAAAAAAUUGAAAAUUUUGGCACAAAAAUAUUUUUAAAUUCUUGUUUUUUGUGCCAGACAAACAAUUUGUGAUGGAGAUAGUAGUAUACUCAAAACAUUUACUAUAAUGGCAGUAGACACAAUAUGUCUCAACACUAUAUGUGCUUUUCCUUUCCUGGAUUUUUAGUCAUAUUUUCUGAAUUCUGGUUGUGCAGUUCAGCUUACUGUCCUAUAUGGAAACCCUGCUAAUAUGGAAACCAAUUAGUGAAGCUGCAAUUUGAUUGUGCUGACACAUUAUCUCUGUUGUAACCUCUGGUCAAUGACAAAUUACGAGUAUGAGGAAAAUGCUCAAAUUGUUUACUCAGCAUUGGCUGCUGACAAGGAGGUGUUGUCACAUGAUGCUUUAAAUCCGACCAACUUUCCUCGAUUAUUGUUCUUCAAUCAAUCUGAUGUUAAUAAAUUUUAUAUUUAACAGUUGCAGCCAGACAAAGUGAAAAGGCAGAUGACUGUAUCUAAUGGAAAGCUUUCUGUGCAUUUUGAAGCAGUUGAAACAAGAUUUCUUCGUGCAUCAUUUAGUGUUUUCGUGGAUGUUCUUAUGCUCGUCACAAAAACAAUUGAAGAAUUUGGUCAAGGAAUGGAAUUAUGAUUCCCUUUGUAGUACUGUUUGAUUAGUGUGGCUAGUUUUUCCAGCUAUUCAGCUGUAAUGUAACUCUAUUUAGCAUUUUUCAUAUCAAUUUUGGUUGCCCAUUCUUUUUCUUUUCUUUUUUU